AGGUGAAAUAAACAGCUUUACUGCUCUCACACAAAGCCUGUUUGGUGGUCUCUUCACACGGACGCGCAUGAAAUUUGGUGCCAUGACUCGGAUCGGGGGACCUCCCUUGGGAGAUCAAUCCCCUGUCUUCCUGUUCUUUGCUCCGUGAGAAAGAUCCACCUACAACCUCAGGUCCUCAGACCGACCAGCCCAAGGAACAUCUCACCAAUUUUAAAUCAGGCAGCACCGAACCCCAGAGAGAGGCAAUGACCUUCCCAGGGGAUUUCUACAAAUUAAUAGAAAAACUGGAACUCCACUGCCCACUGCAGCACCACCAUGUCUUUCGGACAGUACCUCUUGCCACAUGACAGAGUCUUGCUCUGUUGCCAGAUUGGAGUGAAGUGGCGCGAUCUCAGCUCACUGCACCCUCUGACUCCCUGAUUCAAGUGAUGCUCCUGCCUCAGACUCCCAAGUAUUUCCUAUAUCUUCCUGUCUUUUCCAUGGCCAAAAAUGAUCAAGUAAAGAACAUUAAAGAAGAAAUAAAUUACUACAUAUUAAAAAAUACAUACUGUAAGAUGUUCUUUGUACAAAAAUGUGACAACUUCAAUAAGAGUAACUUGGACAACCUGAGGCAUUAAUUGAGGAUCAAUAUGAUGACUUUACAUUGAGAAUCACAUAUACCCUCUGAAUAAAUUUAAAAAAUGAAAUUUUUUAAUUUUCAUUAAAAAUUAAAUUUUUUUGAGUGAUGAAAAUACUCAAUCACAUUAUUUUCAAAUUGUUGAUAAGCAUGGAAAUUAUCAGAGAACCAGAAUAUUCAAGGUUUAUCUUUCCUGUUUUUGUCUUAAAUCACAACUAUGUGUUAAAUAAUUUGUAUGACCUAUUUCAGUGGCAGUAGGUUAAAUAAAAUUCUGUUUGUAUCUCC
rnacentral:lncRNA from 1 species